rnacentral:lncRNA from 1 species
GGAAGCAGAGGCAGAGGCAGAGGCAGGAAGGUCACCGAGAAUUUGAGACCAGCCUGGGCUAAGAAUGAUUGGCAAAAUGGGCCUGGUUUGAUAACAGAGAGGUCCUGUGUCCCAGCUCCUGACCUAGUUAAGGUCUCAGUUAAUCAGCCUAACAAUCAUCAGAUAUGUGAGUAAGGAAGAUUUCUAAACAAAUCCACGUCCAGCUGCCAAGUGACCAGUUGCAGGAGAGACUCCCACCCUAGCUGAGAUCAGUCAGGAUCUCAAUAUGUAGUCCAGGCUGGCCUAAAAUUCACGAUCUCCUGCCUCAGCCUCCCAG